rnacentral:rRNA from 1 species
AUUGAACGCUGGCGGCAUGCCUUACACAUGCAAGUCGAACGGUAACAGGUCUUCGGACGCUGACGAGUGGCGAACGGGUGAGUAAUACAUCGGAACGUGCCCAGUCGUGGGGGAUAACUACUCGAAAGAGUAGCUAAUACCGCAUACGAUCUGAGGAUGAAAGCGGGGGACCUUCGGGCCUCGCGCGAUUGGAGCGGCCGAUGGCAGAUUAGGUAGUUGGUGGGAUAAAAGCUUACCAAGCCGACGAUCUGUAGCUGGUCUGAGAGGACGACCAGCCACACUGGGACUGAGACACGGCCCAGACUCCUACGGGAGGCAGCAGUGGGGAAUUUUGGACAAUGGGCGAAAGCCUGAUCCAGCAAUGCCGCGUGCAGGAUGAAGGCCUUCGGGUUGUAAACUGCUUUUGUACGGAACGAAAAAGCUCCUUCUAAUACAGGGGGCCCAUGACGGUACCGUAAGAAUAAGCACCGGCUAACUACGUGCCAGCAGCCGCAGUAA